rnacentral:rRNA from 1 species
AACGAACGCUGGCGGCAGGCUUAACACAUGCAAGUCGAACGGGUGUAGCAAUACAUCAGUGGCAGACGGGUGAGUAACACGUGGGAACCUUCCUAGGGGUACGGAACAACUCAGGGAAACUUGAGCUAAUACCGUAUACGUCCGUGAGGAGAAAGAUUUAUCGCCCUUAGACGGGCCCGCGUCGGAUUAGCUAGUUGGCGGGGUAACGGCCUACCAAGGCGACGAUCCGUAGCUGAUCUUAGAGGAUGAUCAGCCACACUGGGACUGAGACACGGCCCAGACUCCUACGGGAGGCAGCAGUGGGGAAUCUUGGACAAUGGGCGCAAGCCUGAUCCAGCCAUGCCGCGUGAGUGAAGAAGGUCUUCGGAUUGUAAAGCCCUUUUGCCAGGGACGAUAAUGACGGUACCUGGAGAAUAAGCCCCGGCAAACUUCGUGCCAGCAGCCGCGGUAA